UACGUAGGGUCCGAGCGUUGUCCGGAAUUACUGGGCGUAAAGAGCUCGUAGGUGGUUUGUCGCGUUGUUCGUGAAAACUCACAGCUUAACUGUGGGCGUGCGGGCGAUACGGGCAGACUUGAGUACUGCAGGGGAGACUGGAAUUCCUGGUGUAGCGGUGGAAUGCGCAGAUAUCAGGAGGAACACCGGUGGCGAAGGCGGGUCUCUGGGCCGAUGACUGACGCUGAGGAGCGAAAGCGUGGGGAGCGAACAGGA
rnacentral:rRNA from 1 species